rnacentral:rRNA from 1 species
UACGUAGGGUGCGAGCGUUGUCCGGAAUUACUGGGCGUAAAGAGCUCGUAGGUGGUUUGUCGCGUUGUCCGUGAAAACUCACAACUCAAUUGUGGGCGUGCGGGCGAUACGGGCAGACUGGAGUACUGCAGGGGAGACUGGAAUUCCCGGUGUAGCGGUGAAAUGCGCAGAUAUCGGGAGGAACACCAGCGGCGAAGGCGGCACUCUGGGCUGGUACUGACGCUGAGGAGCGAAAGCGUGGGUAGCAAACAGG